rnacentral:rRNA from 1 species
AUUGAACGCUGGCGGCAGGCUUAACACAUGCAAGUCGAGCGGAGCGGCGGACGCGUGCGUGAUGACUAGGAAUCUGCCUGGCAGUGGUGGAUAAGGUCCGCAAACGGGAGCUAAUACCACAUCCUAUGUGAUGAGCCUAGGUGGGAUUAGCUAGUUGGUUGGGUAGGGGUCUAGCAAGCCAACGAACCGUAUCUGGGUGGGGAGGAUGAUCAGUCACACGGGAACAGGGACACUGUCCAGACUCCUACGGGAGGCAGCAGUGGAGAAUAUUGGGCAAUGGGAGAAAGCCUGAACCAGCCAUGCCGCGUGUGUGAAGAAGGUCUUCGGGUUGUAAAGUACUUUAGGUUGAGAGGCGGUAGCUACAGAAUAAGCACCGGCUAACUACGUGCCAGCCGCCGCGGUAAUAC